AAGUUUUCAUCUCUUGUCUAAAUCCCUAAGUGUUGAACCCUUCCCUCACACACUUGAACCCUUCUUUCACACUUCCCUAAAUCCCUAAAUCCUUGGCUUCGAAUCUGAUUCCUAAAUCCCUAAGUGUCGAACCCUUCCCUAAAUGCAGUGAGUAUCGCCGACCGAAUCCAUCACUUUCAGAGUCGGUCACCGUCGCAGCAGUGAGUAUCGCCGUCGCCGUCCCUUUCCUGAACCUGGUCCCCUGUAUCCUGGUGAAUUUCGAUAAACAACAAAUCGUAGUUUGGAGGGGAAGGAUUAUAAGCACUUGAAAGAUGAGUUAUUUUUGACAACCCACAAGAGAAAAAAUGGUGCUUGGGUUGAUAGUCGCGCAGAAUCUACCUAUGGAACAUUUAAAAAAAAUUGGAGGAAGUACAAACACAAAUUGGCGAAACAAGUGAAGAAAGUGGUAAAAAGGUAGAUGGAGGGACAAUACUUAAGUUAUGGACUGAAUCUGCAGGGGGUCGCACUCGUGGUCGAGUUUAUGGUACGGGAGACUUGUCCAUUAACGUUCGACAGAGGUGUAUCGCUUACACAACAUUCCCAGAAUCCUUCUAAUUCUAUGACUGGGAUGUCUUUAGAAGCGGAGAGGGCAGCUAGAAUUAGAGCUGAACAAAUUGCUCAGGAUGCAGUGGCCCAAGCUCAAUUGGCUACCAAGGUCGCCGAAGAGGCUAGGGAGCGUUCAAAGAAGUUAGAGAAUGAUUUUGAUGCAUUAAAGCAAUUUUUUGGAGAUAAAUUUGACGCUUUGCACCGUCAAUCAACUGGUGGAUCAUCUACUGCGAGCCAUCCUCCUUCGCAUCCUCAUUACGAUCAGAAUUUGGACGACGUGUCGCUUGACGAAGCUUAAUGUCAUAGUUAUGCUUACUUUUUGUAGUGGUUGACAAUUAUGUAUUAGGUAACUUUGUAUUAGGUAACUUUGUAUUCGAUACUAUUUGAUAUUUUGUAGUUUCAAAAGACAUGAUAUUUUGUUAUGUUAUUUAAUACUCUGUGCGUUUGUUAUAAUGUCAA